UUUGUUCCCUGGGAGUGUGUGUGGCGAGGGGGCGCUGAGGAGAACCGAGAUUGCUCCCGAAAAGGGAAGAGAGGAAGAGGAGGGGAGUUGGGGCAGUUAGAGGAAAGGUGGGCCAACGGAAAUGGUUGGAAGUACAGCGACGGAACGCUUCCAUUUCAGUUCCGUUGAACUUCGGUGGAAACUGCAACGGUGAUAGAAGAGUGUUAGACCUAUUGGUGGUUACAGAUAAGGCCGGGACGGCCUAAAAAAGGGAUAAGAGGCUUGUCAGAAGCUCAACGCUUGUGCAGUUCCUCGUUAGUAUAGUGCAAGAGUUUUUAGGAACGCCUGUGAAAUGAGAGGCAACCAAGACAUGCGAAAUGAGAAGCAGAUCACACCAAAACCGGCCGCUAAAGAGAGUUGGCAACAUUAGCAAUGAUCUAUAUUUUUGAAAUUCAGGAAAUUGCAAUUGGUGCAUUAACGCUUUCCUUAAAAGGGCAUAAAGACUUCUCAUUGUUUUCCCCUCUUACUUCACACAGGCCUUUCUUUAAAUAGUCAAUGCAAUUUGCAGAUAUUUAUUAAGUGCACUCUACUACACUAUGCUACCAAGAACAGAGUCAGGGAAGGCGCUGCCUUCCCUUUGGGUAAUUUACACUCUAGUGCCCAGCUAUGCCAAUGACCUAAGAGGGCAUGGUCUUAAGAUGAAGGCGCAAGGAGAACUAUAAAUGAAAUUCUAGGGGGACAAGUUCUGUCAUUUUCGGGAAGCUCAGGAAUAACAUCGUGGGUGAUACAGCAUUUGAGACGGGGCUUGAAGGAUGGGCAGCAUUUUAGUAGGAAAAAUGGUAGCGGCAGGAUUGAGGAUGGGGAAUGUGAAGAGGGCAGCUUUCCAGGUAAACAUAGUAGCAGGAAUCAAGGCAUGAGGCCAGAAGCAGAGAUGUGUUUGGGAAAGAAGAAUUCUGGGGGUUCAGAAUCCUACAAGUUAAUCCAAUGCCUCGCACACUUAAUAAUCUGCCUUUCUUCUUUCCUGGUAUGGUAGAGACCAUUAGUUGUUUCCCAAUAUCUGUAUUUCUCUUCAUCCUUAGUAGUAAAACCCUCGAUAUUUACCUGGACACUUGGCCUCCCAGAAGACUAUAUUUCCCAGCCUUUUUUUCAGUUAUGACCAUGUAACUAAGUUCUGGCCAAUGGAAGGUAAGUGGAAUUACCAAUUAUGACUUCUAGGAAGUGUCCUUAACAGAGACUUUUUAAAAAAAAAAAACUCUCUCUGUUCUCUUAUCUGGAAUGCAGAUUUGAUGGCUGGAGCUCUAACUGCCAUAUUGUAUCAUGAGGUUGGAACCAUGUGCUGAGGAUGGUGGAGCAGCAACAUAGAAGGAGCUAUGAGCUGGAAGUGUGGCUGCCUGUGGGUGAUUUUGCGAGCUGGGCAAAGAGAGGACACCAAGGGGAUGAGAGACUGAAGAGGUGGAGUCGAUGUUGGUCCAGAGGACGAUUAGAAUCAGGGCACAUAUCUGGACGCUGCCUCCCCUUCCUCCAGUCUGGGCUGGAGUCUAGAAGAAUCUCUUUCCCUAACAGAAUGAGGUGUAUGUGACACCCUUCAUGUCCUCCUUCCAACGGAGUGUGGUUCCAGGACUAGCAGCUCGAGUGUCUCCUAAAAGCCUCAUCAGAAAUGCAGAUGUCAGGCCCUGCUGGGCCUGCUGCAUCAGAAUCCGCAUCUUAACAAGAUGCCUUGAGUGAUGGUGUGCGCAGGAAAUUAAACCACUGCCUUGAGGCUCAGAGGAUGCUUCUGGGGUUGGAGGAAACUCAGUUCAAGAGUUAAUCAAACAUGUCAGGACUCCUUCCCUUGGAGUCCACGGCCCUGGACCCUCCAGUCAGUACUCCCUUAAUCCCCUAAUGUCAUCCUGACACAGCACCUGCCACACUGUGCAUCACUGUCAGUCUCCCCUUCUAGAUGGAGCGCCGUUUAGUCCCAGAUGGUCUGUUUUCCCUCCCUGCGCACGUUGUCUGAAUGACCAAUGUGUAAAUGAAUAAAUGAGACUUCACGUGA